UUAAAUAGCCGAUGGGAGGAAUUUUGCAGGUGUAGUUAAACUCUCAUCAGUUAGCUUUGAGUUAAGCAAAAGGGAGAUUUUUCUGGGUGGGCCAACCUAAUCAGAUGGGAGCCCUUUAAAAGAGGAGCUAGGCUCUCCCUGAAGUCAGAGAUUCAUGCUCAGCUUGUACUCUUGGGGUUCCAGCCUGCUCUGACAGUCCCUUCCCAUCUGCCUGCCUGUGGACUCAAUUUCAGCUCAUGCUCAUGCGGUCCAGCCUGUUUGUGACCUUCUCUUCUUGAUCGAUGGUCCUGUGGGCUUCAGGCUUCUUCGCUGGUGCCCAUAAGUGUGUGCUGUGUAAGAAGUUCAUACCUGCUCAAUGUCAUCAAGAUUAGGCUACAGAUUCUGAAUGACAGUCUCACAGAGGAUAAAGCAGCCCCCAUGAGUAUGCCACUGGCCCCUGCUCCACCACUGCCUGUUGGAGUGUUCUUGAGCAAGUCACUGCCCUUUUCAGCCUCAGAAUCCUCAGCUCCACAAUGGAAAUACUCCCACGCGCCUUGUUCAAUGUGUGGUGUUGCUAUAGAGUCGAGUCGUAGGAAACCACUGGUAAGGAAGAUUGGUCCAGAGCUAACAUCCGUGCCCAUCUUCCUCUGUUUAAUAUGUGGGAUGCCUGCCACAGCAUGGCUUGAUGAGUGCUUGUGCAGAUCCAAAUGCUGCAGAAGGGAAGGAUGCUACCGUACUAAAGGGCUGAUUGAGUUUGUGCUGUGCAGUAAUGAGAGCUGGGAUCCUGCUACAACAGCAAUUAGCAUCGCUGACCUGUGAGGAAGAACAAGCCCAGAGAAAACAGGCUUGGAGUGAAAUCAGUGCGGGCUCAGUCAUCAACUCUAUUCGCCCAGAUCUCUGGAGAGAGUGUGUACAGGUGCACAGAUUCUGGGGGCUGACGGGAAGGGUAAUAUUAAAAUAUUUAACAGCUAGUAAGGCAGGAGCAUGGACACUGCUGGUCAGAAGGUAGAGAUGGAGUGGGGUCCAAGACAUUGUUCUGGGUGGUAGGAAGGUGGGAGAGUCCUGGAAAGGUGCCAGGGUGGCUGGGGCUGUGGGAGUGGAACUAUGAGAAGAGAGGAUUGGAGAGGCCUUGGGGAGGGGCUGUUUAUUAGCCCGUACAAAACCAUUUCAAUAUUUCAGUAACUGGUGCAGCUGUAAUAAUAUGGACUACCUGUCCUGUGGAAAGAUGUACUUUUGAUCUUAGCCAAAGUAUUGGUCUUGGACAAAUCAUUUUACCCCUCUGACUCUCAGUUCCUCCAUCUGGAAAGUAGGGAUGUUAGUAACACAUACUUUGUAAAGUUGCCCUGAGGGUUAAAUGAGAUAAUGUAUGAAAAAUGCCGAGCUUAGUGCCUGGCCAGCAGAAAGUGCUCCAUAAGUGGCAGCUGUUACAUUAUUACGGUUAUAUGGUUUCUCCUGUUGUGACUGAUAUUUUAAAUGGAAACAGCUUGGUAUGUAUUGAGCCCUUUUCUGGAAGAGAUUAGAUAUUGCUGUUUAGAUUUUAUUUGUGCAUAGAUUUCUGCUUAAAUUUUAUGAUAAUCUUACAAACACUGACAGGAGAAAAUGCAAAAAUAAUGCUUUAAUUUGUGUGCUAUUACUACUCUAACUAAAUAGUAACGGGCUCACAGAUUAAGAGUUUCUCAGAUGUAGUGAAAGUCUUGACUAUGCAAUGUAAAAAGAAUUUCUUUAUUCUUUUCAAGUCAUUGGGGCACCUCAUCUGAAUCACAGACAUGCCUAGCAGCUUUUUUGUUAUCCUGCUAUUGGACAAGGUCAUUGAAAGGGCUAAAUGAAAUGAACUCAGAUGAGAAUGAAUCUUAUUUAAAUUUUUCUUAAUCUUAACAAAAUGCCUUAGAACAUUCAAGACACGCACAUUGGUCAGAGAAAUGUUAUGAAAUAUUAUAUGCAUAGAAUUAUUUUGAAUGUACAAAGGAGCUUGCUAACUAAAAGAAUAUUUUGAAGCAAAUAACUUUUUAUAAUUUUUUUUUUUUUACUUUUUUUUUUUUUUUUUUUAAGAUUUUAGUUUUUCCUUUUUCUCCCCAAAGCCCCCCGGUACAUAGUUGUGUAUUCUUCGUUGUGGGUUCUUCUAGUUGUGGCAUGUGGGACGCUGCCUCAGCAUGGUCUGAUGAGCAGUGCCAUGUCCGCGCCCAGGAUUCGAACUAACGAAACACUGGGCUGCCUGCAGCGGAGUGCGUGAACUUAACCACUCGGCCACGGGGCCAGCCCCAACUUUUUCUAAUUUUUUAUUUUACACAAUUUCCCUCUCCCAUAUUUACUUAAAUGGUUGCAGGCAUGGUGUCUGUGUGUGCACGCACACACAUAUUUGUUGUAGCAUACGUUCUUUUUUUUAUAAAUGGCUUUAUUGAAAUAUAGUUCACAUAUCCUAUAAUUUAUCCAUUUAAAGUGUACAAUUCAAUGGUUUUUAGUAUAUUCACAGAGUGUACAACAAUCACCACAGUUUUUGAAAAUUUGAAUUACCCCAAAGAGUGUGUUUAAUUUUCACGUAGUGUGUUCGGUUUUAACAUAGUUGUGAAUUUCCCAAAUUUCUUUUAUUAGUUUCUAAUUUCAUUUUAUUGUGACCCGAGAACAUAGUUUGUAUGAUUUCAGUUCUUUGAACUUUGGGGGAUUGUGUUAUGGCCUAGUAUAUGUCUUUUCCUGGAGAAUGUUCCAUCGGCACCUGAGAAGAAAGCGUUCUGCUACUGUUGGGUGGAGUGUUCUGCAGAUGUGUUACAUCUAGUUGGUUUACCGAUUGGUCGUCUUCAAUUCCCUUGUUGAUCGUCUGCAUGCUUUUCUAUCCAUUAUCCAUUAUCCCCUCCAAUAUUGGGGGACUGAAGUCUCCAGUUACUAUUGAUGCAUUGUCUAUUUCUCCCUUCAGUCCGUCAGUUUUGCUUCAUGUAUUUCGGGGCUUCCUGUGAGAUCCUGUAGCCCCAGCCUGGGAGCUGGGGAGAGGGAGCCCAGUGGUCUUAGUGGCACCCCCUGGAGUAGAGUUUCUAUCUUGCUGAGCUGAUUGUAACUCAGAUGCAGAUUCUGUCUAUUCUUACUGACAUUUAGUAGAUUUUCUUGAAUAAAUGUUUUUCUAUUUGCUGUAUGCCCUGAGGAAAAUUUCCAGAGAUUUUAAAUGGCUGUUUUUUGUUAAUAAAUUUCGCCAGUUAUAAUUGUUCCGCUGGGGGGAAGGUCCAUGGUUCUCCUUAUGCUGCUAUUCUGGAAGUUUCCUUCCUGUAUGUUCUUUUAAAUCAUUAAAAAACAAAAGAACUCACAACAUGUCUGUGAUAAACAGGGAUUUGGGGCUCUAAGCUAAAGUGUUACUCUUGGACACAGGAUUUAUUAUUCUUGUACAACAGUCACUGUUAAGCUAUUUAUAUUGAGUUUCUUCACUACGUGGUACGGUGUGUACAAAGAAAUUAAAGCAAAUAGUCUUGGUUGUUCAGAAGCUUAUAUAACAAAAACAGUCCUUUAGUAGGCAUUAGAUUAUUUAGAGGUUCUUGCUGAGUGUUUGCCUAAAUAGCCAAAUAUGUAAAUGGAAGUUCAUUCUCUUGUUUUCAAAGACUAUAGUUUAGAUACAAGUCCUUAUAUGUCAGAAAGGAACUUGAUAAACGAAACCUUGCUUCCCAGGAAUCCUGAGAAUUGCUGAAAAUCUGAUGUCUUCUAAAACAAUCUGAGGAACCAGGGAAGUAAAAUGAAUGACACAAAUGUGACUUCCAAGGAUUACCAUUAUGUUUUAGACCAGUAAUUCCUCUGGAGUUAAAAGUUUCUAAACAUUAGAAACAAAUGUUAAGUAAAUGAUUUAAAUUUACUUAUUUGCCCAUUAAAUGAUUGACUCAUCAACUUUGCUUAACAUUAAAUAGACAAACAAAACACAUGUGGAUUUACCCACAGACUUCCUUGUGGUAGAGACCGUCCUGCUCACUUAGUUCUGCUGGUUGAUUUAUAUAGAUAGAUAGAUAAAUAGAUACAUUUGGGGGGACUGGAUAAACAUUCCUGCUUUUUGUAAUGCCGGUGUAUCAAAUGCAUUUGACUCUAACUUAUCCUGUGAUUUUUAACUGUUAACUUUCCAUUUACCACAAUCCUGGUGCAUAACAUUGUUUAUCUAAUUACUUGCUCAGAUGUGUGUAUAAAUUAUACAGGUAAGAAUAAAUGGCUCUGGAGACCAUUUUUAGUAAAAAUAUUGGUUUUAUGGUCCUGAUCUGACAUUUUCAGUUUUGGUCAUGCAACUUCUUUCCACUGGGCACCCACCCUCUUUCAAUACCUACAUUGUCUUUUCAUUUCUGUUCUCUGUGAGGCUACUGAUGUAUUUUUGUGUCUCAUUUUUUGGCUAUUGUUCACUGUUACAAGAUUGCUUCCCAAUAAAUCUCAUAUGCCCUUCC
ensembl:lncRNA